rnacentral:rRNA from 1 species
GACGAACGCUGGCGGCGCGCUUAACACAUGCAAGUCGAACGGAAAGGCCUGCUUUCCCUUGUGGAUUGCGGGUACUCGAGUGGCGAACGGGUGAGUAACACGUGAGUGAUCUGCCCCCAACUUGGGUAUAAGCCUGGGAAACUGGGUCUAAUUCCCGAUAGGACUGCAGGGUGGUGCCUGUGGUGGAAAACGAUUUUCUAGUGGUUGGGGAUGAGCUCGCGGCCUAUCAGCUUGUUGGUGGGGUAAUGGCCUACCAAGGCGGCGACGGGUAGCCGGCCUGAGAGUGUGGACGGCCACAUUGGGACUGAGAUACGGCCCAGACUCCUACGGGAGGCAGCAGUGGGGAAUAUUGCACAAUGGGCGGAAGCCUGAUGCAGCGACGCCGCGUGGGGGAUGACGGCCUUCGGGUUGUAAACUCCUUUCGACCGCGAGGAAGCCACCUGGUUGGAAGGGUGGUGACGGUAGUGGUAGAAGAAGCACCGGCUAACUACGUG